AUUGAACGCUGGCGGCAGGCCUAACACAUGCAAGUCGAGCGGAUGAAGGGAGCUUGCUCCUGGAUUCAGUGGCGGACGGGUGAGUAAUGCCUAGGAAUCUGCCUGGUAGUGGGGGAUAACGUCCGGAAACGGGCGCUAAUACCGCAUACGUCCUGAGGGAGAAAGUGGGGGAUCUUCGGACCUCACGCUAUCAGAUGAGCCUAGGUCGGAUUAGCUAGUUGGUGGGGUAAAGGCCUACCAAGGCGACGAUCCGUAACUGGUCUGAGAGGAUGAUCAGUCACUCGUCAGCUGAGACGCGCUCCCGACUCCUACGUGAGGCACCGGUGCCGAAUCUUCGACAGUGAGCAGUAGCCUGACCCAGCCAUUCCGCGUGUGUGUAGAAGAUCUUCGCCUCGUAAAGCAUUUUAAGUUUUGGGUAAUGGCAUUAUGUUUUUACCUUGCUAUUUUGACUGUACCAUCAGAAUAAGCACCGGCUAACUUCGUG
rnacentral:rRNA from 1 species